rnacentral:rRNA from 1 species
UCGAUGGAGAGUUUGAUCCUGGCUCAGGACGAACGCUGGCGGCGUGCUUAACACAUGCAAGUCGAGCGGAAAGGCCACUUCGGUGGUACUCGAGCGGCGAACGGGUGAGUAACACGUGA